rnacentral:rRNA from 1 species
AGUUGUUUAAGAGCCGCGGUAUUUUGACCGUGCAAAGGUAGCAUAAUCAUUAGUUUCUUAAUUAGGAACUUGUAUGAAUGGUUGGACAAAAGAAAAGCUGUCUCUGUUGUAAAGGUUGAAUUUAACUUUUAAGUGAAAAGGCUUAAAUAUUUCAGGGGGACGAUAAGACCCUAUAAAGCGUUUUAUUGGGGCGAUAUAGGUAUAAAUAUUAACUGCUUGAAUAACAUACAAUAAUAAGUGGAAAGAUCCUUUUUAGAGAUUAAAAGACUAAGUUACUUUAGGGAUAACAGCGUUAUUUCUUUUGAGAGUUCCUAUCGAAGAAGAAGUUUGCGACCUCGAUGUUGAAUUAAAAUGUCUAUAUAGUGCAGUCGCUAUAAGAGAAGGUCUGUUCGACCUUUGAAAUUUU